rnacentral:rRNA from 5 species
UCGACCUCAGAUCAGACGAGAUGACCCGCUGAAUU